rnacentral:rRNA from 1 species
UGGAAGAAAAAGGCAUUUGGACAAAAGUGUGGGAUCUUCCCGAGUUCCGAGCCGAGCUAAAAAUUAAGCGCUUCGUUAUAAAAGUACGGCCGCAAGGCUAAAACUCAAAGGAAUUGACGGGGGCCCGCACAAGCGGCGGAGCAUGCGGAUUAAUUCGAUGCAACGCGAAGAACCUUACCAAGGCUUGACAUAUACCGGAAACUUCCAGAGAUGGUUGCCCCCUUUGGGUCGGUAUACAGGUGGUGCAUGGUUGUCGUCAGCUCGUGUCGUGAGAUGUUGGGUUAAGUCCCGCAACGAGCGCAACCCUCGUUCUAUGUUGCCAGCACGUUAUGGUGGGGACUCAUGGAAGACUGCCGGGGUCAACUCGGAGGAAGGUGGGGAUGACGUCAAAUCAUCAUGCCCCUUAUGUCUUGGGCUUCACGCAUGCUACAAUGGCCGGUACAAAGGGCUGCGAUACCGCAAGGUGGAGCGAAUCCCAAAAAACCGGUCUCAGUUCGGAUUGGGGUCUGCUACUCGACCCCAUGAAGUCAGAGUCGCUAGUAAUCGCAGAUUAAAAACGCUGCGGUGAAUACGUUACUGGGCCUUGUUCUCACCGCCAGACAAGUCACGAAGGUC